rnacentral:rRNA from 1 species
GACGAACGCUGGCGGCGUGCUUAACACAUGCCAGUCGAACGGAAAGGCCCUGCUUUUGUGGGGUGCUCGAGUGGCGAACGGGUGAGUAACACGUGAGUAACCUGCCCUUGACUUUGGGAUAACUUCAGGAAACUGGGGCUAAUACCGGAUAGGAGCUCCUGCUGCAUGGUGGGGGUUGGAAAGUUUCGGCGGUUGGGGACGGACUCGCGGCUUAUCAGCUUGUUGGUGGGGUAGUGGCUUACCAAGGCUUUGACGGGUAGCCGGCCUGAGAGGGUGACCGGCCACAUUGGGACUGAGGUACGGCCCAGACUCCUACGGGAGGCAACAGUGGGGAAUAUUGCACAAUGGGCGGAAGCCUGAUGCAGCAACGCCGCGUGCGGGAUGACGGCCUUCGGGUUGUAAAACGCUUUCGCCUGUGACGAAGCGUGAGUGACGGUAAUGGGUAAAGAAGCACCGGCUAACUACGUG